rnacentral:rRNA from 1 species
UACAGAGGUCCCAAGCGUUGUUCGGAUUCACUGGGCGUAAAGGGUGCGUAGGUGGCAAGGUAAGUUUGAUGUGAAAUCUCCGAGCUUAACUCGGAAACUGCAUUGAAUACUCUCUUGCUUGAGGGUUGGAGGGGGGACUGGAAUUCUCGGUGUAGCAGUGAAAUGCGUAGAUAUCGAGAGGAACACCAGUGGCGAAGGCGAGUCCCUGGACAACUCCUGACACUGAGGCACGAAAGCUAGGGGAGCAAACAGG